rnacentral:rRNA from 1 species
UGGUGGGGUGACUUGUCUGCUUAAUUGCGAUAACGAACGAGACCUUAACCUGCUAAAUAGCCCGCAUUGCUCCGGCAGUGCGCUGGCUUCUUAGAGGGCUUUCGGCUCAAGCCGAAGGAAGUUUGAGGCAAUAACA